rnacentral:rRNA from 1 species
GAUGAACGCUAGCGGCAGGCCUAACACAUGCAAGUCGAGGGGCAGCACAGAAACAGCAAUGUUUUGGUGGCGACCGGCGGACGGGUGCGUAACGCGUAUGCAACCUACCUUUAACAGGGGGAUAACGGAGAGAAAUUUCCACUAAUACCCCAUAACAUCGAUCAAGGCAUCUUGAUUGGUUGAAAACUCAGGUGGUUAAAGACGGGCAUGCGUUGUAUUAGGUAGUUGGUGAGGUAAUGGCUCACCAAGCCUACGAUACAUAGGGGGACUGAGAGGUUAGCCCCCCACACUGGUACUGAGACACGGACCAGACUCCUACGGGAGGCAGCAGUGAGGAAUAUUGGUCAAUGGGGGCAACCCUGAACCAGCCAUGCCGCGUGCAGGAAGACGGCUCUAUGAGUUGUAAACUGCUUUUAAACAGGGAUAAAGCACAGUAUGUAUACUGUGUUGAAGGUACUGUAAGAAUAAGGAUCGGCUAACUCCGUGCCAGCCGCCGCCGUAA